CACAGUUCAACAUGAUGGACUAUAGGACAGGACUGCUGCUGUUAACUAUCUGCUGGGCAGGUGUUUCCAGUCAGACUCUGACUGAGUCUGAACCGGUGGUAAAGCGUCCUGGAGAAUCCCACAAACUGACCUGUACAUAUGCAGGAAUAUCAGAUAACAAUGCUCAUAUCGGCUGGAUCAGACAAGCUGAAGGAAAAGGACUGGAAUGGGUUGCCUACAUUUCUGCUCCGAGUGGAGGCACUAAAGCUUAUUCCACGUCAGUCCAGAAUCGCUUCACCAUCUCCAGAGACAACAACGUGGACCAGGUGUCUCUGCAGAUGAACAGUCUGAAGACUGAAGACUCUGCUGUUUAUUAUUGUGCUCGAGACUCACAGUGAUACAGGAAGUCACAGAGCUGUACAUAAACUACUGCAGAUGUCACUGUAUCAGUCACUGAUAGAAAGCAGUGUGAAUCCACAUUGUUCAAAAUUUCAAAA